GGCUCUGUGGCGCAAUGGAUAGCGCAUUGGACUUCUAGAUAAAUAAAGGUAUUCAAAGGUUGUGGGUUUGGCUCUCACCAGAGUCG
rnacentral:tRNA from 1 species